UACGGAGGGAGCUAGCGUUAUUCGGAAUUACUGGGCGUAAAGCGCACGUAGGCGGCUUUGUAAGUUAGAGGUGAAAGCCCAGGGCUCAACCCUGGAAUUGCCUUUAAGACUGCAUCGCUUGAACAUCGGAGAGGUAAGUGGAAUUCCGAGUGUAGAGGUGAAAUUCGUAGAUAUUCGGAAGAACACCAGUGGCGAAGGCGACUUACUGGACGAUUGUUGACGCUGAGGUGCGAAAGCGUGGGGAGCAAACAGG
rnacentral:rRNA from 1 species